GACGAACGCUGGCGGCGUGCUUAACACAUGCAAGUCGAGCGGAAAGGCCACUUCGGCGGUACUCGAGCGGCGAACGGGUGAGUAACACGUGAGUAAUCUGCCCUUCACUUUGGGAUAACCCCCGGAAACGGGAGCUAAUACCGGAAACGACCGUCAACCGCAUGGAUUGGGGGUGGAAACUGUUUGGGUGGGGGAUGUGCUCGCGGCCUAUCAGCUUGUUGGUGGGGUAAUGGCCUACCAAGGUGGUGACGGGUAGCCGGCCUGAGAGGGUGACCGGCCACACUGGGACUGAGACACGGCCCAGACUCCUACGGGAGGCAGCAGUGGGGAAUAUUGGACAAUGGGCGGAAGCCUGAUCCAGCAACGCCGCGUGAGGGAUGGCGGCCUUCGGGUUGUGAACCUCUUUCAGCACCGACGAAGCGCAAGUGACGGUAGGUGCAGAAGAAGGACCGGCCAACUACGUGCCAGCCGCCGCGGUAAUAC
rnacentral:rRNA from 1 species